UACGUAUGUCGCAAGCGUUAUCCGGAAUUAUUGGGCAUAAAGGGCAUCUAGGCGGCCCUGUAAGUCUAGGGUGAAAACCUGCGGCUCAACCGCAGGCCUGCCCCGGAAACUACAGGGCUAGAGUGCCGGAGAGGUGGACGGAACUGCACGAGUAGAGGUGAAAUUCGUAGAUAUGUGCAGGAAUGCCGAUGAUGAAGAUAGUUCACUGGACGGCAACUGACGCUGAAGUGCGAAAGCUAGGGGAGCGAACAGG
rnacentral:rRNA from 1 species